rnacentral:rRNA from 1 species
UACGUAGGGUGCAAGCGUUGUCCGGAAUUAUUGGGCGUAAAGAGCUCGUAGGCGGUUUGUCGCGUCGAAUGUGAAAACCCGGGGCUCAACCCCGGGCCUGCAUUCGAUACGGGCAGACUAGAGUUCGGUAGGGGAGUCUGGAAUUCCUGGUGUAGCGGUGAAAUGCGCAGAUAUCAGGAGGAACACCGGUGGCGAAGGCGGGACUCUGGGCCGAUACUGACGCUGAGGAGCGAAAGCGUGGGGGGCGAACAGG